rnacentral:lncRNA from 1 species
CUAAAGAGAGAUAUGGAAUAUCUUCAAUGAUACAAUCACAAGAAAAACCAGAUCGAGUUUUGGUUCGGGUUAGAGACUUGACAAUACAAAAAGCUGAUGAAGUUGUUUGGGUACGUGCAAGAGUUCAUACAAGCAGAGCUAAAGGUAGGAUUGGUUUCAUUAUUAAAGCUCUUUCGGUAAGGACUCCGAAUUUUUUGUCUUACAUAUUCCUCACAGACCAAAGUAAAUCUUUAAAAACAAAACAAAAACAUGUAACUUUUCUUUCUUAAAAGUCACUGUAAAGUAUUAACCCAUGGUUAAUCAAUUUUAGAUUCCUGUAAAACAUCCUUACAAAUAAUUUGACCCUAAAGACUGAUGAAAUCUAAGACUUCAAGCUACUUUUCUAGCAUCGCUCUAAAGUUUAAUUAUUUUCAGCUGGAGAAGGAGUAGCU